AGCAGCCGCGGUAAUUCCAGCUCCAAUAGCGUAUAUUAAAGUUGUUGCAGUUAAAAAGCUCGUAGUUGAAUUUCGGGACCAAUAUGUCGGUCGUACUUUGUACGUACUGGCAUUAUUGGUUUCUCCCUUCUGAAGAACCGCGAUGUCAUUAAUUUGGUGUCGUGGGGAAUCAGGACUGUUACUUUGAAAAAAUUAGAGUGUUUAAAGCAGGCUCGCGCUUGAAUACAUUAGCAUGGAAUAAUGAAAUAGGACGUUUGAUUCUAUUUUGUUGGUUUCUAGGAUCGACGUAAUGAUUAAUAGGGAUAGUUGGGGGCAUUAGUAUUCAAUUGUCAGAGGUGAAAUUCUUGGAUUUAUUGAAGACUAACUACUGCGAAAGCAUUUGCCAAGGAUGUUUUCAUUAAUCAAGAACGAAAGUUAGGGAUCGAAGACGAUCAGAUACCGUCGUAGUCUUAACCAUAAACUAUGCCGACUAGGGAUCGGAUGAUGUUAAUUUUUAUGUACUCAUUCGGCGCCUUACGGG
rnacentral:rRNA from 1 species